rnacentral:rRNA from 1 species
UACGUAGGGGGCAAGCGUUGUCCGGAUUUAUUGGGCGUAAAGAGCGUGUAGGCGGUUAGGUAGGUCCGUUGUGAAAUCUCGGAGCUUAACUCCGAAACUGCAUUCGAUACUGCCGUGCUUGAGGACUGGAGAGGAGACUGGAAUUUACGGUGUAGCGGUGAAAUGCGUAGAUAUCGUAAGGAAGACCAGUGGCGAAGGCGGGUCUCUGGACAGUUCCUGACGCUGAGGCACGAAGGCCAGGGGAGCAAACGGG